CCACGUGGAACGCCUGACGCCGGGAAUUAUCAGAACCGCGUUCCCUCCCACUGCGUCUUUCAUCGCAAUCAUCUCUUUCAUAUAUGCAGAGCGAGUGGGGAGCGUAAGCUAGGCACAGAGAGAGAGAGAGAGAGAGAUGGCUGUUCCGGACGCCGGCCACCGCGGACGGAGGUGGUCGGCGGGGGGUCAGUGCCCGCGCGAGCGAGGUUGCUGCAGAGGAAGCAUUUUAGGUGGCGUCGGUGGCUGCAGAGGAUCGUGAUCGCCAUUUUCAUUGCGAGUCGCAACGCGGAUACCGGAUAGUUUCUGUUCAAGUUCCUUCCAAAGCUCUGCUUGCCGAUCUCGAUCUCACUGAAAGAUGAGGAAGAAGAAGGAGAAGAAAAUAGAGAAGGGAAGAUGAGGAAGGAGAAGAAAAGAGCAAGCAAGAGAGGUGAAAUUUGCAUAGCCCUGGCAAUAUUGGAAUCAUGGUGUAUUCUGGGAUGCUCAUUGAUGUCGUGGAAAAUCUCCUUGGAUAAUGGCCCACCGGCUUACUCUUCAAGCUACGGUUUAUUAUAUUUAACGAGAAUGUAUUAAUCAUUAUUUUCAUGACAGUGGGCAAUCCCUUUCUCAGUUUGCAUACCGAAUCCAAAAUGCUAUUUGGACUCGUUUGUGUCUUCCAUGCACUUCCUUGAAUCUUUGCAAGGACCUAGAGAGUCACGAUCGGCAACCUCGGGCUGCCUUUGGCUCCUGAUGGAAGGCUACAUCACAACCAUCCAUGCAUUCCAGAUGGUGCUUGAUUGUUCCUUCCGUGCUGAGAAAUAUCGUGUUGCACGAUUUAAUCUGAACCUUCCAUCUUGCUUUACGAAGCUUUAUCCUAGCCGUCCAAUGCUAUUAUUUAUCAUUCCAUCGAGAUCUGGAGCGACACAAUGUAUACACUCGCCAUUGACAAAGAAGAAGAGGUAAGGCUGAGGAUUAGAGAGAAAAAAAGAGAGAGAGGAAGGUAAGUGGUUCGAGAGCCUUCGCUUGAGGUAACCUUGUGGCUUUCCUCGUUUAUGAUCUGUAAAGCUCUGUACAUGAUUCUGUAUGUAUUUUUCUUUCUGGUUUGAUAGUUUAUGCGUUAAUCUAUAUUAGUGAUUCUUGAGCGGUUUGGUUAUCCAAUCAGUACUGUACAUAGUGUUUUUGUGUGAGCUUUCGUUGUGAGUGAAAUCUCUAUUUCUUUACUUUCCAUCAUUUUAUGCUUGUGUUUGUUGUUUGUGUUUAUUUUCAGUACCGAUUUUGUCUCUAUUGUUGGGUCUAAAGGCUAUAGUGGUAUAUCAGUGUGUGUGUGUGUGUGUGUGUGUGUGUGAUUCUAUUGUUUGGGCAAUAAGUGGUAUCAAAGCCAUUUCUUUGAUACGCAUGGUUUGGGUCUUUGUUUUAUUCCUCUCAGAGUCUAAGUGAUUAAAUCUAGGGUUGUUCUUCGCUCUGUUAGUCUUGUCUGAAUCUCUAGGGUUUUCUGAAGAGUCACAGUCAGUGGGUGUUUUCUGAGUGUCUCUGUCAGUGUCUAGGGUUUUAUUAUGAUACAUUCUUGCAAGGCAAAGAUGACAACAACCCGAUUUGAAAUCGGUACAUUUGAUGGAAAGGGGGAUUUCGAUAGCUUGAAAAAGAAGAUGAGAGUAUUACUCUCUCAUCACAAAGUACUUAUUACACUUAAACUAGAUGACAGAAAAUGAUCCGCUGAGCAAACAGCUAGGACUGAUGAGAUAAGGGAGGAAGCAUUCAACUUGAUAUUCCUCCAUUUGGGGGAUAUUGUGAUCAAAAAGGUAGAUUAUAUAACUAACCCCCUUGAUUUAUGGAAUAGAUUUGAAUCUUUGUAUAUUGUUGUUUCUGCUCCCAACUUAGUUUAUUUGAAACGUAUGUUAUUCAAUUUUAAAAUGAAUGCAUCAAAAUCUAUGAAUUAUAAUAUAGAUUAAUUUAUUAAACUUACAUUGAUGUUAAGGGGGACUGACCAAGUCUUAGGAGAUACUAGUGAGGCAAUGAUAUUAUUAAACUCAUUACUUGAUAAUUAUAAUGUAGUUAAACAUACUUUACAGUAUACUGAUAUUGUGCCUACAUUAGAACUAGUAAUCUCUGAAAUCAAGGCUAAGGAAUUAGAACUUCAUACUUCUAAAAAACUUGGUAACAAUUUAUUUGUUAAGGGACUGUUUGAAAAUGGUCAGAAUAGUUUUAACAACAAUCAGAAUGGGGGUACAGGACAUAAGGGAAAACAAAAUGGAAAGAAGGGAAAACAAAAGCAAUCUAAAUGGAAAUGCUACCACUGUGGAAAUUAGGGUCACAUUAAAAAAAUAUUGUUAUGACUUUAUUAAAAAACAGAGACAGGAAGCGAAUGUGACAAUUGUAACGCCCUACUUUUUCUGAGCGUAAAAUAACUUAAAAAUUUAGGGAAUAUAUUUUUUUUUCAAAAUAAAAUCAUCUCCCGACAAUCACGAUCUACUUUCUCAGCAUACUAAAGUAAUAAUCAAUAAGCUAAGACAGGUAAUCAUCAUAAGUGCGGAAGCUUAAAAUCAAAACUUGAUAUGGUACAUAAUCAAUUCAUUUUAUAACAACAUAAGAAUAUGUACCAUCGUAUCAUUAAAUACUUAAAUACAUAGAGACUUAUCUGUACAAUCUGACGAUUUCUCAUAAAUACAUAACAAUUAUACAUGAUCAUCAAUAUAGUACAAUCUGUUAACCAUGACUAAGAACAUGUCCUGCAAUCCUCACGAAUGCACAUAUACCCAAUCAACUUGUCGAACCCAUCUGCCACGUCAUCAAUCAUCCCAUUGUCAUAGCAGCAAAUCCUAACUGGAAUGUUUAAAUGUUCCAGGAGUAUAACCCAUUAGAAUAUGAAACUUCUAGUGAGGGUUCAAAAAUAUAUAUAUAUAUGGAUGCAUAAUGCAAUAACGUGAACAAACAUUCGCCCUAGUGUAACUUCUUUGGCCCACAAACCCAGCACGGAAUUUUAGGCAGAAUCUUAACACCUCCGACAAGAUAAUCCUAACGUUAUCCCAUCAAUUACCUUUAGAGAAUUACGGCUACACUCUUAGGCUAACAUCCCAUUCCCAUGCACAAAUAUCAAUAUGAAAAUAAUAUCGUGUCAUGCAAAUAUCACGACUUUCCAUGUAAUAUGACAAAAUGAAUCAUAUCUUUCAUAAAUAUCAUGCAUAAUAAAUAAUCAUAUUAUAUAGGAUAGGAAAACUCAUAUUUAGAGAUAAACUUGAAUUUCUCAAAAAGCGUGCAUCGCCUCGAUAUGCGUGUUCGACCUCGAUUUUUGUGCCAACUCUCGAAAGUUUCCCCAAUCACUUUUUUUCGAGCACAUAAAUCAUAAAAAAUAUAUUUAAUCACUAAAUAUCUCAACAUUCUAUUUUCUUUCAUUUUUCCUUCAUUUUCUUCCAUUUUGCCUUCUGAAAAUCCCAAUAAAUACCCUUGAGACUAUUUUCUCAAAUCUCUUUUCACAACAAUUGAUAAUAUCCAAUGAACUUCAAAGAAAAAAUACUGGACUUACUCGGAUGUUGCGUUUUCAUGCAAAACAAGGCUAUUCGGUGCAAAAAUCGAGACAUCAGGAGGGCUAAAUCCAAAUCAUGUUGCACAGACAUUGAGGACAUAUUUUUCUAUAUUUUUGGAUAUUUUUGCACCAUUUUCCAAGCACCCACUCGCCCUCACGCGCUGGCGCGUGGUCUGCGCGUGAUGACCAAUGCGUGCAGGCCACACGUCGGUCAUUUUUCUUAGCCACGGCACACCAGAGGUUGGAGAUUCUGAUGCCAUCUUGUAGUCGUCUUUGAGUCGAUCCAGAUGGCCAAGUUUGAGCCCGAAAGGAGCACUGGAGAGCCUCCGACUAACCGCUUGAAGUCUCGACCUAGGCGGACCGCCUUCUUCUCCGGCAAAGCUUGAAAUCCUACCAAACCUCAACUAAAAUGGCUCAAAUUCUUCGGAAUGAAUCUACUUCUCAUGGGCAACAAAAGCCCCAUGGUUUAGAGUCCUAAUUCGUUUGUUAUUGCGGUCGAUUUGAAGCUCCCACCUCUCUCAUUUUCGGCCAUCAAGAACGCCUAUUUAUAGGCAAAAUCGGGCUUCCAAAUGCCCUUGGCCGACUAACCCAUGCCCCUUAGAGCAUAAACCUACCUCAGAUUGACCUUGAAUCACCCUCACCCAACUGCAAAAGUGAGUUGCAGGUGCGUAACAAACUAGCCAACUUUCGAUCAUUUUUUCUUCAACUUUCGGCCACCAUCGUGGCCUUUAUCAAUCCAACCUUUACACAAAGGCUUCCCUGGCAAGUCCUCGUGCCAUCUCUGCCCUCAAUUCAAUGGUCGGUGACUGUUAGAUGGGUUGAUCGAAUCCUAUGGCCAAACUUUAUUGAUUUUGCACUUUAGCCCUUCCAAGUUUGGGUUUCUCACUUUGGCCCAUUUUCACAUAGCCCAUGAACUUUUCACAAUUGCUUUUAAGACCCUCAAGUCUUAAGACAUCAAUUUGACCCCCGAAGAUUCUAAAAAAUCAUCAUUUCGGCCUCUCUCUAGCAAUUUUAGAAAAUUACACUUAGGCCCGAAUCUUCCUUUUGGCCCUAAACCCCCUCGUUUCUUCCUAAAACCAUUGAAGGAUUGUUUCUUAUGAAAAACUGAAGCCCUCUCAAGCUUUCGUUGACUUCCUAGAAGUCACCUUCAAUGAUUCGAUUUUGCAGUCUAAAUGGCAACUAUAUUUUAACUGUACCGAAAAUCGUUCUCGAUCUGAUUUCUUUUGAAACCAUAAAUCAUGUCUCAAGAUGAUCAUUAAUGCCACAUCAUUUUUCUUUGGCAUCUCAGCUUCAGGGUACUCCCUGUAGUCAAGUCAGUCAAUUUUUUGGACUAUUUAGAUACCAAUCUUCCCUGAAAUUUCAUUUUUCUAAUAAAACACUUAUCAUCAAAUAAUCUCAAUUUCUUGGGUAUUACAACAAUAGUUGCCAAUAACUCAAAUUCAUUAGCUGAAGUUUUAAAUGUCUCUUGUACAUCAACUGCAAAUGAAUGGAUUAUGGACUCGAGAUGCCCUUUUCACAUGUGUCCAAAUAUAGAUUGGUUUCAAAACUUUAGCACUAAAGAAACUGGUACUAUUUUUAUGAGAACUAAUCAUUCAUGUAGCAUUAAAGGUAUAGGUGACAUCUCUCUGAAAUUACAUGAUAAUAAGAUUAGAAUGUUGACUGAUGUGAGAUAUGUACCUGGCUUAAAAUAGAAUUUGAUUUCUCUUGGCACCUUAGAUGAAUUGGGGUUCUCCUAUAAAACUAAAAAUGGUUUUCUGCAUGUGUUUAAAAAUGAUGACCUUAUUCUCUCUAGUACAAAGAAACAUGGUUUAUAUCUAUUGAAUAGUUAUUGUCAUAUUCCAUCUGCAUGUAUAGCUAAAUCUGAUAAAACAUAUCUGUGGCACUUGAGACUUGGCUGUAUGAGCCAGAAAGGGCUACAAGCACUGUCCAACCAAGGGUACCUUGGUCCAGUGUUUGCAGAUUCCUUAGGCUUCUGUGAACCAUGUACACUAGGCAAGCAACACAGGAUGAGUUUCCCAAAAAAAACUCACCUGGCGAAGGCAUGCCUAGAGUAUUUGCCUGCAGACCUUUGAGGUCCCUCCCAAGUCCCCUCACACGGUGGUAACAAGUACUUUUUUUUUCUAUCGUUGAUGAUUUCACUAGAAAGGUGUAGAUAUUUCUAAUGAAGACUAAGGAUCAAACUCUAGAAAAAUUUAAAUCAUGGAAAACCUUAGUUGAAAAUCAAACAAAUAGAAAGAUCAAAAUUCUAAGAACUGGUAAUAGAUUGGAGUUCUGUAAUAGAGAUUUUGAUGAACUAGUAAAACCCAUGGUAUACUAAGGCAUAGGUAGUAAGAAACACCCCUCAGUAAAAUGGAGUUGCUGGGAGAAUGAACAUAACUCUAUUAGAAAAUAUUAGAUGUCUUUUGUUUACUGCUAGGAUGCCUAAAACAUUUUGGAGAGGAGCCCUAUCUACAGUAGCCCACCUAGUGAAUAGGAGCUCUUCGACAGUAAUUAAUUUUAAGUGUCUUGAAGAGAAAUGGACUGGAGAAAAUUGAACUUAAACUAUCUGAAAGUGUUUGGGUGUGAGGCUUAUAUAUGCUCAUGAAUCAGAAGGAAAGCUAGAUCCCAGGGCCAUUAAAUGUGUUUUUGUUGAAUAUCAAGAUGGAACUGAGGGUUAUAGGCUAUGGGACAGAACUUCAGGUAGAGUUAAAAUCAUUAUAAGCAGAGAUGUAAUAUUUAAUGAAUCAAUCUUCUCAUGCAAGAUUAGCAACACUGAAGAUAACCCAAGACCUAGCAGCCCUAAUGAUUUUGUAAUAGGUGGCAGUACACAAAUUGAGGUGGAGCAUCAGGAUCCUCCUGCUACUUCAACCACUCAAAACCCCCACACUCAUGAUGAGCCCCUAACUCAAGAUGAAACCUCUGAUCGGGAUAGUGAUCAUAAGGCUCAACCUGAUGACCCUAAGGUUGAGGAGUAUGACACUUCUCAACAAGACCUCAGCAAUUAUCAACUCGUCCGAGACCAAGUCAGGAGGUCCAUCAGGCCUCCUGUAAGAUAUGCAUACUCAGAUCUAGUGUUUUGUGCCUUAGUUGCUAGAAUGGAGAUGAGGAGCAGUGAGCCUACCUGUUAUGAUGAGGCUGUCAGCUCCCAUGACAGCACUAAGUGGAAAUAGAUAAUGGAUGAUGAAAUGACCUCUUUAAAGGUCAAUGAGACUUGGAAACUAGUUCCAAGACCUGAUAAGCAGAAGCUAAUUAAAUGUAAAUGGUUGUUCAAACUUAAAGAAGGAAUGUCACCAUUUGAUCCUCUAAGAUUUAAAGCAAGACUAGAAGCUAAAAGUUUUUCUCAAAGAGAAGGAAUAGACUACACUGAAAUUUUUUCACCAGUAGUUAAAUUUAAAAUCAUACGUAUGAUGCGGAAAAAAUCCGUCUCAACAUCCGUCUCAAAAUGAUUCAGUAUCUAAAUCCGUCUCUAAAUCCGUCUCUAAUUUGAGAUGGAUUUCUUUCCGUCUCUAAAUCCGUCUCUAUUUAGAGACGGUUUUUUCCCGUCUCAAAAUCCGUCUGUAAUUUGAGACGAAAAAAAUCCGUCUCUAAAUCCGUCUCAAAAUUAUUCAGUCUCUGAAUCCGUCUCUAAAUCCGUCUCUAAUUUGAGACGGAAAAAUCUGUCUCAAAAAUCCAUCUCUAAACGCAGGUUUUCUUGUAGUGGCUGUUGUAGUGCAUUUUGACUUAGAACUUGAACAAAUGAAUGUCAAAACUGCAUUUUUACAUGGAGACAUUGAUGAAAUCAUUUACAUGGAACAAUCUGCUGAAUACAUUGACAUUAAUCAUCCUGAUAAUGUCUGCUUGCUUAAUAAAUCAUUGUAUGGAUUGAAACAAUCUCCUAGGAAAUGGUAUAAAAAGUUUGAUAAUUUUGUUGCUGAGAUUGGUUUUAAUCGAAGUAAAUAUGAUAGUUGUUUUUACUAUAUACCAUCUGAUAUCCCUGUUUAUCUCUUGUUGUAUGUUGAUGAUAUCUUGAUAAUUAGCAAGUCCAAGUCAAAAAUAUGUUAAUUAAAGUCUCUGUUAAAUACUAAUUUUGAUAUGAAAGACUUAGAACCAGCUAAGAAAAUCUUAAGGAUGAUAGUAGAAAGAAAUAGAAGUAAAAACAAACUGAAAAUACACCAGCAUGAUUACUUGCUUAAAGCUGUUCAAAAAUUUGGUAUGGCUAAGUGUAAAACUGUUAAUGUUCCUUUAACUGGACAUUUUACCUUAUCCAAAACUCAGUGUCCAUCAUCUGAAUCAGAAACUCUUAAAAUAGAAGACAUACCAUAUGCUAAUGUGAUUGGAACCAUAAUGUACUCAUGAUAAGCACUAGGCCAGACCUAGCAUAUUCAAUAUCCCUACUCAGUAGGUUCAUGUCCAACCCUGGAAAAGUUCAUUUGGAAGCCUUAAAAUAUGUGCUAAGAUAUAUUAAUGGUUCACUAAAUGUUGGUUUAAAUUUUGAGAGAAUAGGUCAUACUCUUGACGUAGUGGGAUAUGUAGACUCAGAUUUUGUAGAGGAUAGAGACUCCCUUAAGUCCACUACAGCAUAUUUUUUCACCUUAGGUUGCAACUGCUUUAACUGGAAGUCACAGCUACAGCUUUUUGUUGUUCUAUCUUCCACUGAAGCAGAGUAUGCGGCUGUUACCGAUGCUUUCAAGAAAGCCAUUUGGCUUCAAGAUCUCUUACAAGAAAUCAAUCUUCUACAAGGACCUAGAGGGUCACGAUCGACAACCUCGGGCUGCCUUUGGCGCCUGAUGGAAGGCCACAUGGCAACCAUCCAUGCAUUCUAGAUGGCGCUUGAUUGUUCCUUCCGUGUUUAGAAAUAUCGUGCUACAUGAUUUAAUCUCAACCUUUCAUCUUGCUUUAUGAAGCUCUAUCCUAGCCAUCCAAUACUGCUAUUUAUCAUUCCAUCGAAGAUCUGGAGCAACAUAGUGUAUACGCCCGCCAUUGACAGAGAAGAAGAGGUAAGGCUGAGGAUCAGAGAGAAAAAGAGAGAGAGGAAGGUAAGUGGUACGAGAACCUUCACUUGAGGUAGCCUUGUGGCUUUCCUCGUUUAUGAUCUAUAAAGCUCUGUACAUGAUUCUAUAUGUAUUUUUCUUUCUAGUUUGAUAGUUUAUGCCCUAAUCUGUAUUAGUGAUUCUUGGGUAGUUUGGUUAUCAAAUCAGUACUGAACAGAGUGUUUUUGUGCGAGCUUUCAUUAUGGAUGUAAUCUCUAUUUUUUGUAUAGUGCAAUGAACUCUUCUCACUAGAACUCAACAUGGACAUAGCCCUAUUUAGGGUGAACUACAGUAAAAUCUCUCAUGUCAUUUACUUUCCAUCAUUUUAUGCUUG